rnacentral:rRNA from 1 species
UACGUAGGGACCGAGCGUUGUCCGGAAUCAUUGGGCGUAAAGAGCGUGUAGGCGGCCACUUAAGUCCUGCGUGAAAUCUUGCGGCUCAACCGCAAGCGGUCGUGGGAAACUGGGUGGCUAGAGUGCGGGAGAGGAGAGUGGAAUUCCUGGUGUAGCGGUGGAAUGCGCAGAUAUCAGGAAGAACACCCGUGGCGAAGGCGGGUCUCUGGGCCAUAACUGACGCUGAGGAGCGAAAGCGUGGGGAGCGAACAGG